rnacentral:rRNA from 1 species
AGUGAACGCUGGCGGCGUGCUUAACACAUGCAAGUCGAACGAGAACGGAUUAUAGCUUGCUAUAAUUGUCAGCUAAGUGGCGCACGGGUGAGUAAUAUAUAGGUAAUGUGCCCUAGAGAAGAGGAUAACAGAUGGAAACGUCUGCUAAGACUCUAUAUGCCUUUAAGACAAAAGUCUGCAAGGGAAAUAUUUAUAGCUCUAGGAUCAGCCUGUACAGUAUCAGCUAGUUGGUGAGGUAAUGGCUCACCAAGGCAAUGACGCUUAACUGGUUUGAGAGGAUGAUCAGUCACACUGGAACUGAGACACGGUCCAGACUCCUACGGGAGGCAGCAGUGGGGAAUAUUGCACAAUGGACGAAAGUCUGAUGCAGCAACGCCGCGUGGAGGAUGACACAUUUCGGUGCGUAAACUCCUUUUAUAUGGGAAGAUAAUGACGGUACCAUAUGAAUAAGCACCGGCUAACUCCGUGCCAGCAGCCGCGGUAAUACGGAGGGUGCAAGCGUUACUCGGAAUCACUGGGCGUAAAGAGCGUGUAGGCGGGUAUAUAAGUCAGAAGUGAAAUCCAAUAGCUUAACUAUUGAACUGCUUUUGAAACUGUAUACCUAGAAUGUGGGAGAGGUAGAUGGAAUUUCUGGUGUAGGGGUAAAAUCCGUAGAGAUCAGAAGGAAUACCGAUUGCGAAGGCGAUCUACUGGAACAUUAUUGACGCUGAGACGCGAAAGCGUGGGGAGCAAACAGGAUUAGAUACCCUGGUAGUCCACGCCCUAAACGAUGCACACUAGUUGUUGUGAGGCUAGACCUUGCAGUAAUGCAGUUAACACAUUAAGUGUGCCGCCUGGGGAGUACGGUCGCAAGAUUAAAACUCAAAGGAAUAGACGGGGACCCGCACAAGCGGUGGAGCA